UACGGAGGGUGCGAGCGUUGUCCGGAAUCAUUGGGCGUAAAGGGCGCGUAGGUGGCCCGGUCAGUUCGUGGUGAAAGCGCGGGGCUCAACCCCGCGUCGGCCAUGAAUACUGCUGGGCUGGAGCACUGUAGAGGCAGGCGGAAUUCCUGGUGUAGCGGUGAAAUGCGCAGAUAUCAGGAGGAACACCGGUGGCGAAGGCGGGUCUCUGGGCCGGAACUGACGCUAAGGAGCGAAAGCGUGGGGAGCGAACAGG
rnacentral:rRNA from 1 species